rnacentral:rRNA from 1 species
UACGGAGGGGGCUAGCGUUGUUCGGAAUUACUGGGCGUAAAGCGCACGUAGGCGGCUUUGUAAGUUAGAGGUGAAAGCCCGGAGCUCAACUCCGGAACUGCCUUUAAGACUGCAUCGCUUGAACGUCGGAGAGGUAAGUGGAAUUCCGAGUGUAGAGGUGAAAUUCGUAGAUAUUCGCAAGAACACCAGUGGCGAAGGCGGCUCACUGGCCCGAUACUGACGCUGAGGCACGAAAGCGUGGGGAGCAAACAGG